GAUGAACGCUGGCGGCGUGCCUAAUACAUGCAAGUCGAGCGAACGGACGAGAAGCUUGCUUCUCUGAUGUUAGCGGCGGACGGGUGAGUAACACGUGGAUAACCUACCUAUAAGACUGGGAUAACUUCGGGAAACCGGAGCUAAUACCGGAUAAUAUUUUGAACCGCAUGGUUCAAAAGUGAAAGACGGUCUUGCUGUCACUUAUAGAUGGAUCCGCGCUGCAUUAGCUAGUUGGUAAGGUAACGGCUUACCAAGGCAACGAUGCAUAGCCGACCUGAGAGGGUGAUCGGCCACACUGGAACUGAGACACGGUCCAGACUCCUACGGGAGGCAGCAGUAGGGAAACUUCCGCAAUGGGCGAAAGCCUGACGGAGCAACGCCGCGUGAGUGAUGAAGGUCUUCGGAUCGUAAAACUCUGUUAUUAGGGAAGAACAUAUGUGUAAGUAACUGUGCACAUCUUGACGGUACCUAAUCAGAAAGCCACGGCUAACUACGU
rnacentral:rRNA from 1 species